rnacentral:rRNA from 1 species
CACCGCGGUUAUACGAGAGGCCCAAGUUGUUAGACACCGGCGUAAAGCGUGGUUAAGAUAAUCCCUCACUAAAGCCAAACACCUCCCAUACUGUUAUACGUUCACGGAGAUAGGAGACCCAAUCACGAAAGUAGCUUUACAAAAUCUGAACCCACGAAAGCUAGGGAA